AUUGAACGCUGGCGGCAUGCCUUACACAUGCAAGUCGAACGGCAGCACGGGAGCAGUCCUGGUGGCGAGUGGCGAACGGGUGAGUAAUAUAUCGGAACGUGCCCAGUCGUGGGGGAUAACGCAGCGAAAGCUGUGCUAAUACCGCAUACGAUCUACGGAUGAAAGCGGGGGAUCGCAAGACCUCGCGCGAUUGGAGCGGCCGAUAUCAGAUUAGCUAGUUGGUGGGGUAAAGGCCCACCAAGGCGACGAUCUGUAGCUGGUCUGAGAGGACGACCAGCCACACUGGAACUGAGACACGGUCCAGACUCCUACGGGAGGCAGCAGUGGGGAAUUUUGGACAAUGGGCGAAAGCCUGAUCCAGCAAUGCCGCGUGCAGGACGAAGGCCUUCGGGUUGUAAACUGCUUUUGUACGGAACGAAACGGUCUCUUCUAAUAAAGGGGGCUAAUGACGGUACCGUAAGAAUAAGCACCGGCUAACUACGUGCCAGCAGCCGCGGUAA
rnacentral:rRNA from 1 species